rnacentral:sRNA from 1 species
AUUAAGUUUUCAUUAAACAAACCAAAUUCAUACUUUUGUUUUUCCCAAAAAAAAAAAAAGAAAUAACUCAAAACUGUUGUUAGCAUAGAGCCCUAAGGCUGGGGCCCCUGCCCUACCCCCUCAAAAAAAAUAUCUCUGCUCUGAUAUCCGUUGUGGCAAAAAAUCGCUUAUUACUCCUCCCUCUCACUGUCUGAAAAAGUUUUUCCUUUUUCCAAAAAAAAAAAAAAAUAUAUAAUUACAGCUUAAACAGAUGACUAAUCUGAACAAAAAAAAAGCCAAAACAAAAAUCCGUCUUGUAACUAAAGAAGCUGUUCCCCUCCAAGGGGUAGUCACGGGAAACGGCGCAAUGUAAAUGACUUGUAAAGCACACAAUUGUGAAUGUGAAUAAAAUACACAACACAACACAGGGGUCCAGUCCAGCUCAGCUAACUAAUGAUGCCGAUGCUGUAACAGCAGAGCAACAAAAAUCUCCUCUUGAAAUUAGAAGAGGAGAUCCUUGAGGAAAAUCAUUUUAUGAAAAAAAAAAACGAUUUAUGGAAAACAAGAGUCUCAACCAGGUCUUUGAAGACACAACAUUCAAAAUUGAAUCUCAUUUAACAACAAC